AUGAUAAUGUUACCUCUUUCUUCCACAACACCAAAACACAAAGACAAAGCGGAAAAGUGCCGUUUGAGGGAAAACAGAGUUCAAGAACAAGAGAACAUAAUGUGAAUUUAGUGCUUGUAGCUGGCUUAUCUCUACCUCUCUUUCUUUGAAAUCAAAAGGUUACUGUAAAUCUGUGAAGAAAUAAAAAAGUUAUGAAUCUUUUACUGUUUUAUCAAAAAAUCUCCGCCUUCAUAUCAAUCCUAAAACCCUUUUUGCCGAUUUCCCUCUGCCCGUUGGAGCCACUCGUUUUCGUCUUCUGCUGCUAUUAUCUGAAAAGUGACAAUCAAGGCUGAAACUUAAGGACUUGGAAGUUGUAACGCAAAUGAUAAAUUGUAUAUUAGCUCAAAAUCGGGAAAGGAAUGUCGAUAAUGGCAUAGCUUAGUUGGGCACCUCUUAUGAUUUUGAAGAAGGCCAUGUUCUCUUUGAAAUUUUAGCUGCUUGCAUGCUUUAACUUUUUAGUCUGUAUCACUCAUGCAAUAUUAGCUAUCCCACAAUUUAGAACUGAUCCACUCAUUAUUCAGUUGGGAAAUUCCUGCAAGAGAUAUAGAAUAAUAUGGUGCUUUUUGUUACAUUUUGUGAGAUAUAAGCAUCAGGACUACUUCUAUGCUUUGGAUCAAGGAAAUUCUGGCUGAAUUAGCCCCUCUGCUUGGACUACAGAAGAACUCGCACUUCUUCUUGUUGAAAAGGUUCGAGUUCCAAUGCCAAGUGAGAAAUGUUUAUAGGUUGUUGAAAAUGGUCGACAUCCAACACCAAGUGAAACACAUUUCUACGUCCAUACAAAUGAUUGAUGACCAUCAGGCUCCAGCCACGCAUUAGUUAGCUUUUUAUUUGGUUGGACUUUAUUGUUAGUGUUGUGGAUGUAUUAAACUUAACUAUACAAUCAUUAGAUGCAUUACGUCAAUUAAUUUGGAUCUUGUAUAAUAUUAAGUUAUAUAGAAUUUUGGUUA